rnacentral:rRNA from 1 species
GAUGAACGCUGGCGGCGUGCCUAAUACAUGCAAGUCGAGCGAACAGACGAGGAGCUUGCUCCUCUGACGUUAGCGGCGGACGGGUGAGUAACACGUGGAUAACCUACCUAUAAGACUGGGAUAACUUCGGGAAACCGGAGCUAAUACCGGAUAAUAUAUUGAACCGCAUGGUUCAAUAGUGAAAGACGGUUUUGCUGUCACUUAUAGAUGGAUCCGCGCCGCAUUAGCUAGUUGGUAAGGUAACGGCUUACCAAGGCAACGAUGCGUAGCCGACCUGAGAGGGUGAACGGCCAAACUGGAACUGAGAAACGGGCCAGACUCCUACGGGAGGCAGCAGGAGGGAAACUUCCGGAAUGGGCGAAAGCCUGACGGAGCAACGCCGCGUGAGGGAUGAAGGUCUUCGGAUCGUAAAACUCUGUUAUUAGGGAAGAACAAAUGUGUAAGUAACUAUGCACGUCUUGACGGUACCUAAUCAGAAAGCCACGGCUAACUACGUG